AUUUUAGAUUCCAAAAUGCUUGCUAUCCAGAUCAUUAAAAUUUUAACAUGAAAAACAAGUCAUAAGAGAUCACUGUCUUAUAUAAAAGACCAUGAACUUAGCCGAGCACUGAGUCUACGAUCUACUUGAGACCUCCGCUUUCCGUAAAUUGGUUCUUCCGUUUACCACAAUGGCCCUCGUGGUGCUCCUUGUGAUCGGCCUGUGUAGCCUCAUGGUUUCAAGCCAGGAUCGUGCUACCCUCACCUCCACAGAUGACACUGAAAUGGAGCGCAAGGUGCCGGAGGAAUUCAUUAUUGCACCACCAUCACUUUAUGUAAUUAUUCCAGGACGUAUUCUUUCCUUGUUCAAGCAUUUAGUGAAUAAAACUGCUACCUGACCAUGAGUAAAUCAACAGUUAAAUACCUUCAUCUCCUGGAUCUCCUUUCUUUUCAACUCUUCAUUUUUUCUUAAAUUCCUCCCCAAAUUGUUAUAUGGGAAAAGGCUACUUCCCUUUCCACGUCCCUCAUUAAGUCUCUGAAAUAAA